AACGUAGGACGCGAGCGUUAUCCGGAGUUACUGGGCGUAAAGGGUGGGCAGGCGGCCGUGUCAGAUGGGUGUGAAAUCUCCCGGCUCAACCGGGAGGGGCCACUCGUGACUGCACGGCUCGAGGACUGCAGAGGGUAGGGGAAUUGCUGGUGUAGUGGUGAAAUGCGUAGAGAUCAGCAGGAACACCAAGGCCGAAGGGACCUACCUGGGCAGUAUCUGACACUCAAGUGCGACAGCGUGGGGAGCGAACCGG
rnacentral:rRNA from 1 species